UGUCUAUUGGCUGGAUGACGGCGGUGCU
rnacentral:sRNA from 1 species